UACGUAGGGCCCAAGCGUUGUUCGGAUUUACUGGGCGUAAAGGGCGGGUAGGCGGCCACCGCAAGUCAGUUGUGAAAUCUCUGGGCUUAACCCAGAAAGGUCAACUGAUACUGCGGGGCUAGAGUGCAGAAGGGGCAACUGGAAUUCUCGGUGUAGCGGUGAAAUGCGUAGAUAUCGAGAGGAACACCUGCGGCGAAGGCGGGUUGCUGGGCUGACACUGACGCUGAACUGCGAAAGCUAGGGGAGCGAACGGG
rnacentral:rRNA from 1 species